ACUACAAACCGUGCUAUCGCUUCCGCCGAAAGGAGGAUGAGGAAAGUCCGGACAGCAUAGAGCAACGCACCACCUAACGGGUGGGGCUGUUCUUUUCUCCGUUAAAAGAGCGAAGAAUGGCACAGAUAGUGCCACAGAAAAUGACCGCCUUAUUCCGCGCAAGCGGUAUCAGGUAAGGGUGAAAAUGUGGGGUAAGAGCCCACGUCUGGGUAUGGUAACAGACCUGGAGGGUAAACCUUGCGUGCUGAAAUGCCAUGUAUACGGUCGCUUAAGGGCUGCUCGUCCAAUGACCGAGGGUAGGCAGAUACAGGUGUCGUGUGAACGGCAUCGAAGAUAAAUGAUAGCAUCCGCCGCAAGGCGGAACAGAAUCCGGCUUACAGGUUUGUAGUUUUC
rnacentral:RNase_P_RNA from 1 species